GAUGAACGCUGGCGGCAGGCCUAACACAUGCAAGUCGAGCGGCCGUAGCAAUACGGCAGCGGCAGACGGGAGAGUAACACGUGGGAACGUGCCCAUCAGUUCGGAACAACCCAGGGAAACUUGGGCUAAUACCGGAUACGCCCUAACGGGGAAAGAUUUAUCGCUGAUGGAGCGGCCCGCGUCUGAUUAGCUAGUUGGUGAGGUAACGGCUCACCAAGGCGACGAUCAGUAGCUGGUCUGAGAGGAUGAUCAGCCUCACUGGGACUGAGACACGGGCCAGACUCCGACGGUAGGCGGCAGUGGGGAAUAUUGGACAAUGGGCGCAAGCCUGAUCCAGCCAUGCCGCGUGGAUGAUGAAGGCCCUAGGGUUGUAAAGUCCUUUCGGCGGGGAAGAUAAUGACGGUACCCGCAGAAGAAGCCCCGGCUAACUUCGUGCCAGCCGCCGCCGUAA
rnacentral:rRNA from 1 species